GGCCCCUCCCUGGGCAAGGCGACAGCCCCACAACCGGCCCGACGUCGCGCCCCCGCCACUGAGGGCCUCGCGGAGCCGCCGUGGUGGGCCCAGCCCGGCCUCAGGAGGGCCCCUCAGGCUCCCAGCCCCCACGGGCGAGAGGGGCCGAGGCCCGGCCCGGCCUGGGGGAGAGGCCGCCUCGGGCUUGCAACGGACUCACCCUCCCCCCGUCGGGCUCGACCCACGCGACGCCAUCUUGUUUGUGCCGGUUGCCCCGGUUACGACCGGGCGAGACGAUUGGCUCCGCGAAGGUCCCGUGGCUCGACCCCGUCUGAAAAGACUACGAGUCCCAGCAUGCAACGCUCGGGGUUCUGCACCCUCCCCCGCAUCCUCAGAAAGAUCUUCCAUUGAAGCUAUGCCAACAAUUGACAACAGCUAAGGAUCUGGCCUGCUGAAUUUGAAAUAUAUGCUGAAAAUUACCACACGCUUCUUUCACGGUCUGCUAGCCUCCAUCGACAAACUUUCAUUUCUACUCUUCUGCUUACCGAAACCGGCAAGAAAGAUGUAAAACAGCUAAGCAGAAGCUUCAGCAUUUUCUGUUUCUUUCAAAUAUUAUAUGAUGCCCCUUCCCGUGGUAUCUGUGGCUCAGUACAACAGUCCAAAUUCAUGAGGGUUUGGCAUAUCGGCAGGAGAGUCAACCCAAGCCCUCCAGAUGCCAAAAGCCUCUUAACCACCCCCCUGAUAAGCACCAUCACCACGCUCCCCAGGAACAAACCCAACCAGCUGCCACUGGCCUCUCCAAAUCCAGAUGUGCAGGCAAAAUUAAAGCUUCUGUUUCUGUUCUGGUGGGGGCAGAAGAGGACACUUCCUUGCACAAGUUGCAUCUCACUCACAGAGGUUUAACAUGAAGACUGUCCUGCUCAUCACUGCUCUUCUCCUGAUGAAUUUGAUGACUGUAAUCUGUGACGGUUCGACUAAAACGACAACCUCGCCAGUUAACGCCCAACAUAGCCUGGGCACACCCUGCUGCGUCCCAGCUUCUCUUUUGCUGGCGUUUGCCUUGGCAGCAAUUUACCUCCUCCGAGCAAAAUGAGCUCCCGCACUUCACUCCUCAGAGAGAUGCCAACGCUGCCUUCUGCCUGCCACCAUCUCAGCCUCUCCUGCUGGGCACCCCGCUGCAGCCUGCCAAUCCGCGGAACCCAGCUAGCAUAACCGCUCCAGUUGACGUCUUCCCGCAACACACCCACCGCGCCCUUCUCUUCGCCGCCAUCGGUUUCUUUCCUCGUUUCCCAUCAGAGCCAUUCAUUCCACCAACUGCGACGGAAUCCCGGCAGCAGAGUCCAGCUUCGCACGGAGAUUCCCAUUAGGAUCACAUUGGAGAGGCAGAUGCAUGUCUCACCGCAACACCCGAGGAGCCUUGCCAUUGAUUGAGCAGCUCCUGUGCAGAAUGGGCCUCCCCAAGGAAAAGAGACCAAGAUUGCAGCAAAGGGUGUAUUUUGUUGCAUGCUUGUGUAUGUAUUGCACUAAUCUGAAGUUCCCCAGGCCUAGCCAUUGGAAGACAGAUCCCCAUUCCAUGAAAACAAGUUCUGAUGCUUUGAGAAAUUAAUGUGAAUAUAAAUUCUUUGGGGUCUUUCUGAUCCCUACCGAGUGGCAGCCAGCUCAACCUAAUAAAAUGAAAGACAAACUUCCUUA